rnacentral:rRNA from 1 species
GUGCAGCAGGCGAGAAACCUUCGCAAUGCAGGAAACUGCGACGAGGGGACUCCCAGUGCCUACGCUCAGCGUAGGCUGUUCCCGAGCCUAGAAAGCUCGGGGAGUAAGGGCUGGGUAAGACGGGUGCCAGCCGCCGCGGUAAUACCCGCAGCCCGAGUGGUGGCCACUAUUAUUGGGCCUAAAGCGUCCGUAGCCGGCCCGGUAAAUGCCUGGGUAAAUCGUGAGGCCUAACCUCACGAAUUCCGGGUAGACUGCCGGGCUAGGGGACCGGAGGAGGGAGAGGGUACUCCAGGGGUAGGGGUGAAAUCCUGUAAUCCCUGGAGGACCACCGGUGGCGAAGGCGCUCUCCUAGGACGGGUCCGACGGUGAGGGACGAAAGCCAGGGGAGCGAACCGGAUUAGAUACCCCGGUAGU